UACGUAGGGGGCAAGCGUUGUCCGGAAUCAUUGGGCGUAAAGAGCGUGUAGGCGGUCCGGUAAGUCGGCUGUGAAAGUCCAGGGCUCAACCCUGGGAUGCCGGUCGAUACUGCCGGACUAGAGUUCGGAAGAGGCGAGUGGAAUUCCCGGUGUAGCGGUGAAAUGCGCAGAUAUCAGGAGGAACACCAAUGGCGAAGGCAGCUCGCUGGGACGUGACUGACGCUGAGACGCGAAAGCGUGGGGAGCAAACAGG
rnacentral:rRNA from 1 species